rnacentral:rRNA from 1 species
UUCUUCCUCAUUUAGAGGAAGUAAAAGUCGUAACAUNGUUUCCGUAGGUGAACCUGCGGAAGGAUCAUUACAGUAUUCUUUUUGCCAGCGCUUAAUUGCGCGGCGAAAAAACCUUACACACAGUGUUUUUUGUUAUUACAAGAACUUUUGCUUUGGUCUGGACUAGAAAUAGUUUGGGCCAGAGGUUACUGAACUAAACUUCAAUAUUUAUAUUGAAUUGUUAUUUAUUUAAUUGUCAAUUUGUUGAUUAAAUUCAAAAAAUCUUCAAAACUUUCAACAACGGAUCUCUUGGUUCUCGCAUCGAUGAAGAACGCAGCGAAAUGCGAUAAGUAAUAUGAAUUGCAGAUUUUCGUGAAUCAUCGAAUCUUUGAACGCACAUUGCGCCCUCUGGUAUUCCGGAGGGCAUGCCUGUUCGAGCGUCAUUACACCACUCAAGCCUCGCUUGGUGUUGGGCGUCGCGGUCACACGCGCGCCUCAAUAGCACCGGCCGGUCACCCGAACUCCGAGCGCAGAAGCAAAACACUUUCGCUCACGAGCCGAGGGGAAUCGUGCCGUUAAAACCUCCAUCAAAGGUUGACCUCGGAUCAGGUAGGGAUACCCGCUGAACUUAAGCAUAUCAAUAAGCGGAGGA